UGACCAACUCACGCUCCGCGUGGUCUUGGGGUCCGCUAACCGGCGGCCCUUAAACGCAGUGGCGGUGCCGUGCGGCUCUCAGCGUAGUAAUUUAUCUCGCUACAGGGUCCGGACGGUGCUGGCCAGCAACCCCAACUAUACUA
rnacentral:misc_RNA from 1 species